CACGUGAUUUCAAAAGGAUCAUGGUGUCCUCAUGCCAACACCGGAUCCCAGAUCAAGGCCCCCUGCUAUAGAGGCUGCGAGCCUCAGUGGUACCCCAGACUGGCUAAAUAUCAGGGUCCUUCUAGUCCUCAGGUUCUCCAAUUCAUGCUUUCUGCUUACAUUCUAUGAAUAUGUCUAGAAGUGAGAGGCAGCUUUGUCCCAGUGCUUAUGCUCUAGCAGGGCGGUGGGCACAUGGCUGUGAAACAUGAGCACCUACCAGGUGAGUGGUGAGCUAGGCGGGAGCAGGAGGAACUGGGGAGGGACAGUCUCCCCUGGGAGUGUUCUGCUGUCCUUGCUGCCACUGUUCUCCUCCACCCCCCGACCUUCCCAUUUCUCUCUCUCCACCCGAGAAGAACAUAACCUGCUUCUUUAAAUUACAAUUUCAUGGAGUUCCCUGGUGACCUAGCAGUUCAGGACUUGGCAUUGUCCCUACUGUGGCUCAGGUUACUGCUGGAAUCAUGUUUUGUAUGCCCUGAUGAGUGGGCCUCCAGGAGGCCAUGGUGCCCUUGGGGAUCUUGAGUGGUAGGCUGCCACCUCUGUCACCGUCGACCCUGCUACCUCCUUGGCCCACAGGUCAGCCUUGGACCUUGAAAACAGAAGCCGAGCUGGAGUCUGACUACAACUGGGGAAACCCUUGGUCCAGGAGUGGCUUUGCUUUCCCAGAAGCCACCUCCGACCUUUACAACUGGCUCUUUCCUUCUGUCCCUGAGCCUAGCCUACAUCCACCUCUGCUUGUGUGUAUCGGGUGUGUGUGGUGCAUGUGCGUGUGUGUGUUUGGCCCCAGAGGCUGGAGCCCCAGAUAGAUCCUAGGGAUAGAAGAAGUGCAGAUCUCCUUGGAGGAGGGGUGGAGUCAUUUGUGAAAUGAAUGGUUUCUUGUCCCAAAGAGAGGAGUGUGGGGUGUAUGUGUGUGUGCGUGUGUGUGCAUGCACGUGUCUGUGCGUGUGUAUGGAGGGUGUACGGGUGUGGCUUUUGGGGAUAAGAAAGCAGUUGUUCAGCUGAUGAAAGAACCCCCACAGAGCUAGGGACUAAGGCCAGAGGGUUCCUCCUCCAGCGCUGUCUCAUGCCGGGGGCAGCAGGACUCAGCAUUUGCUUCUUCCAGACCUCCUAGGACACUGCCCUUCCCUGCAGUGCUGCUCCCGCCUCUGUCUGCUGUCCCUUCUGUCUUCUUGCACCUGUCUCUUCUGCCUGUAGGCUGCCCUUGGAUGCUUCUGCCCACCUGCCCUGACUCCUGCCUAACCCCUCCCACUGUGCCCUCUUUUUGUCCGGGGGGAACACAGCUUGUCAAGCUGAGUCAGCCCUGGAAAUCUUUACCUCUGUGUCCCAGAUCUCUCAGCAGAACCACCAACCCCAGGGCCCAAAACUUUCAUGCAGCCCAGAGAAGCUGGUGCCUCAUCUUGCCAGGACCAAGGGGCUUGGAAGUAUGACGUUGCAGGGCCUCAGUGCCAAGGAGAAUGGUCCACACCUAGUGUUUUCCUCCAGCUCCCCUUCUUGUCAAGGAAGCCGAGCUUUGAAGGCUGAGUGGGGCCUGAAAUACAAGAGGCUGAUAGAUCUGGGUGUGAAUCUUCUGUCAGUCAUGUGCUGACUGUGUUACCUUGGGCAAGUUACUCAGCCUCUCUGAGCCUCAGUUUCUAGUUCUAUACUCUAGGACCAAUAAUGCCCAUCCAAAUAGUGUUCCUGCCAGGUAUAAGAGACUGAGAAAGGGAAAGGAUCCAGUCAAGUAUCUGAUCCAAGUAGGAUCAGAAGAAACUUUAGUGUCUUCCCGUCUAACUUUCUCCAAUAGCCAAGCCAGAACCUUGGAGAAGUUCCAGCAAUGGACAGGAAUCCGAUGCUUUGUUCCCCACAUGUGGCAUGAGGAUCCCACGCUUCCUGCUAGCUGCUGGGGUCGCUGACGCAGGGAGGAAGGAGGGGUGGUCUCUUCCCCCAGGCUGGUGAUUUGGGCCUAGAUGGCCCAGAGCCACACGCUAGCGGGGCUGCCCUCACCCACUGCCCAGAGCAGCUAAAUCCUGGGUGACAACACCCUCCAACUUAGUCCAUGGGAACUCGGAGACCCUGACCUAAAUCCUUCGAGGUGUGAGGGCAUCCAUACCCUCAUCUGUCAGGUGGAGCACCUUCCUGCCUGUGAUUAUCCGCAUGCCAGACGGUCAUGGGCGUAGGGAGCAGCAGAAACAUUCUGGUUCUUAGGACAAGGGAGGGUUGCAGAAUCUUUGCCUUUGGGGAUAGCCAGGCUUGUGAACAGAUGAGGGGCAUCACUGUGUAAAGAAAUUAGAGAGGGACUUCAGAGCUGCUACAGGCAAGGGCCAGGGAGCCACGGGGUGGUCCCCAUCACAGCCUAUAGCACAGGCCAAGGCCAAGAGGUCUCAGAGGCUGCUGAAGGGGGCUGGGGCCUUAGGAGCACCCGAACCCAUGCUUUUCACACCAUCCCUUGGAGCCCAGGUCUGAGCAAGAGGAAGGGAUGGGUUCAAGGCCACAGCACUAGAAUUUUAGAGCCAGGUCAAGAGCCAGGUUCUGGAGGGCUUUGGACCCACUGGACAUCCCCGGGGAGUGGACAGCAAGUGCAAAAUUGGAGGGAGAAGAGCCAAGGGGCGCAGGCUGGCUGUUGCAGAGUUAGAGGCUGACUGGUGAAGGGAAGCCCUGCCCAGCCUUGCCCUCCAGCUACAGAUGGCAGGCCUUGGGAGAGGUGGUACUCCCUUGAUUUAAGUGCCCUCUGGGUGCCAGGAUCCAGGGGUGUCUUUCAGUACCUAGGCGUCUGAAACUUAAAAAAGCAGGACUGCAGGGAUCAUCAAGUGUGCCCUUCUUCCCUGCUCCAUGUUCCAUUUUGCAUGUGGGAAACCCAAGAGGCCAGGCCCCAGUUCCACAGACAGAGGGGAGGGAGCUCUGUGUGUCCAGGUCUCUGCUCCAUCCAAUCCCCACAGGCCUUGGAAACCACGGCUGGGAGACCAACUCACCUUUCGCCUCCAUGGCUCGAGGAGCUCCUUGGGGUUUCAGAGAGGAAGCAGCUUGCUGCCCCACCCGCCCUUCCAGCCAGCCAGCAAGCAGGACUCCUGGCCUGUAGACCUGGCUCUGUGCCCUGGUCUGUGCCCCUGGGGCUCGCUGGGCCUCAGUUUCUCUAUUGUAGCUUUCGAGAGUGAGGUCGGUCGGCUGACUGCCCUGUCCUUUCAUCCUUUCGUGGUGUCGUCUUGAAUUGGGGGUGGGGGAAGGGAGCAGGAGCAGCCGUGGGGCCAGGCCAGAGCAGACUGAAUGGGGAGAGGCAGUGAGCUCUAGCCCUGCUUCUCAGACCUGCAGCUGCCUGUGUGACUCUCCUGAGGGACAAAGCUGUGACCCUCUGAGGUGGUGGUGGGAAUCAAGCUGUCAGGGUGAGGACAGGCUGCUCCGAGGCCUCUGGCGGUCCUGGGAUACCCACGGGCUGCUCAUGGGCAGGGGUGUGUGGCCACAAGACCUGGGAGAGGUUUUUCAGGGUGUAAUUAGUGCACUUUCUGGCACCCACCAAACUUCCCCUUCCUCUUGACAAUCUGCUGCCAAAACAGCCCUGAUUCCUGUAGACUUGCUUACAUCUUAUGCAGGGG
rnacentral:lncRNA from 1 species